rnacentral:lncRNA from 1 species
GGCGGUGUUUUGUAACUGGAGAGCGAUGGUUUGGAGGUCCUGGUUGGACAAGGCAGCGGCGGAUACAUUCCCCGCCGGGCUUGGCGAGGGGUUGAAAGGGAUGGGUGGUUGAUUGUUUGGAGUUGUAGGACUGGAAAAAGAGAACUGCUGCCCCUCUUGGGUAGAGCUCAGGUCAUUGGGAGUGUUAAGAUUGUUGUUUUCAUUGUGAUUAGCCAUCGUGGAUCUCAGUGGGUUUGUUUAGAGUGGAACUCCGGUGAUGAAAAGAUCUCCUUCAUUCCCACAGACGGCGCCACUUGAUGAUCUGAGAUCCAGAAA